AAAAUAGCUACGAAAGAGACCAGUAAACGAAAUGUGCUGCCUGACAGGGAAGCCGCUGCCAUAGACUGAGAGCAGCCGCAGGACAGCCUUCGUCGAAUUCCCUCUGGAGCUGACCUCUGAACGCAAGGCGCCGCAAGUAAGAGAGUCCGGGUCAUACCCGUUAUCAAUGACGAGGAGAGACAUGUCUUUAUAAGCAAAGGCGAUGUCUAACUAGGGUGGUACCGCGAGAAACGAACAACUCGUCCCUUUU
rnacentral:ncRNA from 1 species